UGAAAUCGGGGCGGGUUGACAAUACUUCACACGCCUUGGGCGCGUUGUUGCAGUCUGUUAGAUUUGAAGAACUGCCGUGUUUCAUUCCUGAGGAAUUUUGUCUUUGCUCGGUGUAGUGCCUGUCCGUUGAGCCACACUUCUCAGUAAUAAUUCAAGCUCUGAAAAUUCCGAACUUGAUUCAGCAUUCGUCUCUUCCGUUUCCCCCCAAAUUUUAAACUUGCUGUGGUGGUCUACUUUCCUUGGUUGAUGCCUGAAUUGGGUCCUCGAUUGGGCUAUAAUAUAUACAUCUGGAACUGCAAUGAACGGCUGACUGGUUGGCCACGUUGAAAAGCGUAGUGCUAGUGUGCGGCAGAUCGGCUGGCCACGUGGCAGAAGCGGAGAUUUACGUUUGUGCCACUUAUCCCCAUGAGAAUCGUCUCUUAUCUCCUCUCGUUUCCCUCGCGACGAAACAUGCAUCGGCGUCUACGUGCGUGGGGUAUUAGAUAGUGUCUCGCUCGAGAUCACAUCCUCACGGCCGCAGCGUCAACAAUGUCACCGUCGUCGUCGCUCUACUCCGGCCGUCUCCUCUCCUCCCGCCCGGCGUCCAAGGGGCUCGUACGUCGUCUCCUCAAUCACGAUGGGAGCAGGUGGGUCAGGCCGUCGUGCUCCCUGUCUAUGAACGGCUGCGCGGCCGGCGUGGGCGCGGUGACCAUGCACGAGACGCGGGUCCUGCCGGCCGCGUCGGCGCCGCAGGAGGCCGUCGGGCAGCUCAGGGCCGCCGUCGCCGCGCUCAACGCCGACCCGCCGGUGUCCUCCUCCGGCAUCAUCCGCAUCGAGGUAGCAAAAGCACAUGGUCUUCAAUGGCGAACUGCGUUUGAUCGUAUUCGUAUCUGGAUAAAAUGGGACGCGCGCGCACGCAGGUGCCGAUUCGGCAGCGAGGGGACGCCAUCGAGUGGCUGCACGCGCAGAGGCAGAGCUCCCUGCCCCGCUGCUUCUUCUCCGCCCGGGCGCCGCUGCCGGACACUCCGGCCCUCGCCGUGGGCAUCAGCAGCAACGGCAACGGCAGCCACAAGGAGCAGUGGGAGCAGCCGGUAAGCGUCGCCGGCGUGGGGUCGGCGGUCUUCUUCCGCGGCACGGACCCCUUCUCCCUCCGCGACUGGCGAGCCAUCAAGAGGUACGCAAAAACUCACUACCUACUCGAUCAGCUACUAUGUUUUUUCUGAAUUGGAUGAACUAUGAUAAAGCUUGGCUUAGAGUGCGUUUACGACGCUGUUCCUCCUCUUCUUUGUCCGUGAAGAUUUCUUUCAAGGGACUGCCCGCUGAUCCGCGCCUACGGCGCCAUCCGUUUCGACGCGUCGAGCGACGCCUCGGUCGAAUGGGAAGACUACGGCGCAUUCUACUUCGUCGUUCCACAAGUAAGUCGAUCCGCAACUGGUGACAGUUUCAUUCUGCAUGAUGAAUGCAAUGUGCAUGUGUACUGCCUUAUUUCAAGUGUGUGUGAUGUAAAAAUGUACUGCAUUGCAGGUUGAGUUCAGCGAGCUCGAGGAGGGCUCGGUUCUCGCGACGACGAUUGCGUGGGACGACUCCCUUUCUUGGACAUGGCAGAGCGCUGUGGAGGAGCUUCAAUCGACAUUGCACGAGGCAUGGCAUUUUGUUUCCCUGCAUUCUCAUGUGGAAGAUAGUAAGUUAGCAACCGCUAAUUUGAACUUGUAUGCAGAUAUCACCCUGUUCAGUUAAGGUGAACAGGUCCACCCUGCAAACCGCCAUCGUAAAUCUCAAUCAUGUCCCCACCAAGGCGUCCUGGGAUCUUGCUGUUACUCAAGCUCUUCGGAUGAUCAAAGGGAGCCAGACGGAAUUAGUCAAGGUAAACCAUUCAUCGCGUCACUGUCUGCCAAAACAAAAACUAGACGAGUAAUUUUCUUUACCUGUCUUUUUGUGAGUAUAGAGAGGUUUAGUUCAACCAAUCUCUUCCAAUCCUGAUAUUUGUAUGAAUGCUAGAAUUUUUCAGUUAGUUACUAAAAAAACACUUAUUUUCCAUUUUUGUUUUCGACAUAUAUUGAACUUGCCAAUGAACUAUUUCUGCAGGUUGUGCUGGCAAGGUGCAGCAGGUACAUCACUGAUACUUGCAUCGACCCUCUGGAGCUGUUAGCUUGUCUGAAGGUAUGUCGUAUUAUUGUCCUCUCCCUUCAUGAUGUACUCAUAUCAUCUUGUUUACGAGAAGAUCAUUCUGCGACUCUUGUAUGUAUAGGUUGAGGGCCAGAAUGCCUACCAGUUCUGCAUACAGCCACCCGAUGCUCCUGCAUUUGUUGGAAAUAGUGUAUGUCUUCUGCGAUGCACUUUCUUUUCUUCCUGAUAUACCUGACCUUCAGAGUCCUGUUUAGAAACAGGUCUUACUUAUGCCUUGUGCAUUGUUUAUCUCUAUAUUUGCUCUAGCACUGUUAAAUAACUCUCUUCUAACUAUUGCUAAUUUCAUCCAAACAUUCUGAAUAGCCAGAGCAACUAUUUCACCGGAAAUACUUGAACAUUUCCAGCGAGGCUUUAGCCGGUACGCGAGCAAGAGGGAAAACAAGGGCUGAUGAUUUUCAAAUUGGCCAGGAAUUGCUUCUAAGGUUUGUUUCCCCUCUUUGUGCUUGUAAUCAUAAGAUUGACAUAUUUCUGAAAUUUUACGGAGAUAUCGGCACCUUGUACGAAGACCAGACUGGUCAGUAAUGUAAAUAAUUCUUGCAGCAUCAAAGAGGACACUGAAUUUACUAUAGUACGGGAAAGCAUAAAGAAGAAGCUUGAGGCAAGUUAAGUUUCAGAGUCCAAUUUCAGAUAUGAUCCUGGACUAGUUUGCGUUGCUCUUGGUACUCAGCAGUAAUGCUUUUCAGAAAACAAAAUAUGGUGACUGUAAUUUUUGCUGAACCAGUGGAUCUGAUCUAAUCUGCAGAUGAUCUGUGAUGAGGUUGUUGUCAAUCCCAGUAAGGCCCUUCGGAAACUUCCAAGAGUACAACAUUUGUCAGCUCAAUUAGCUGCAAGAUUAAGAAAUGAGGACGACGAGGUAAUCUGUGGUUUGAACAUUCUCUGUCACUUGGACAUGUAGGUAUCAUUUGAAUUUUCUUUUGCCCUGGAUUGUUGGAGACAUCGACUAGUGUUCAUAUAAUAGACUUGAUACUUCGUGCUGGUAUUUGCAGUUUGACAUCCUAAAUGCUCUUCAUCCAAGCCCAGCUGUUUGUGGUUUGCCCACUGAAGAAGCGCGCCAAUUCAUACGAGAUUAUGGUGUGUGCCUGUAUUCUGGCUGAAAUGUUAUCUAUGAACGCAUAUGCACUAUUGUGUUCUGUAUUUAGUACGCAACCUAUUGAUGGUGAUCUCUGAAUGCUAUUUUCUGAUGUUGCUGCAGAAAUUUUCGACCGUGGAAUGUACGCUGGACCUGUUGGUUGGUUUGGUGGAGCUGAAAGUGAGUUUGCUGUUGGAAUUAGAUCAGCACUACUUGGAAAAGUAAAUAAAACACAUGUCAUCAAUAUUUGUGUAAACCUUACCUUCUUAACCUAUCCUAAUUUAGAAGCAUAAGUCACCUAGCUGUCUUGUCCAGGGAUAUAGCACUUUAGUUUAUGCCGGUGCCGGGAUUGUCGAAGGUACAAAUCCAUCUUUUGAAUGGGAUGAGCUUGAUCUCAAAGCAUCUCAGGUAGUCUCUGUCCAAUGUCAUGACUGUUAUUACUGACUUCUAUUUGAAAUGCUAACACGUUAGAUCUUACGACUAUUUUCAGUUUGCAAAGUUGUUGCAGUAUCAAGAACAUCAUAUUUGCUACCAAGAGGCAGGAAACAUGGGGACAUUGAUUUGAACUGUAACUAGUAAGUCAUCAGAGAUUACAAUGCUUAGAAAGAGGUGGGAAAUUACGUUAUCUCAAUUAUAUAGAAUGUCUACAACUUCAGUUUGUAUCUGACAUUGGAAUGCCCGAUGUGUUUAUUUUGAACUCCUUCUACAGGGAAGUUUUGAUUUGGUGGGAAGAUUCCAAAUGGAGUUCAUAUCUGUUUGUGUGCGUGCGUUGUAAACUUCGAAAGAUUUCAGCCUGAUUUGCAUGGCUCUUGAAGAUGCAAUCACAGAAAUAUCGAAAUAUCGAUUCGAGGAGAUGACAGUGAUGAUAGUCGUGGAGCGUACAAAAGAUUAAAUAAAAGCAUAUUAAAUAAUUAUGUACAAUGAUUGUAACAAGUCAGUUUAGUGCAAAGUGUAUAUUACACGAUGAGUUUUUUUAUCCACGCACCCCAGGGAUGGGGAUGGGCAUCGGGAUGGUGUCACGGGUGUGUGGAUCAUAUUAUAGCAAAUCUCAACUGGGUAUUCCCCAUUGUCACUUUGAGUCUAGAUGGACCACAAUCUGAGUACUACUAUUAUUGACUCCCUCGCACGGUCUUCUUGUUCAUCAAAUGGAUGUUAAGAUAACUUUCCUAAAUGGAGAGUCAGAGAAGAAAAUUUACAUGGAACAAAAGAUGGAUUUGUAGUAUCGGGUCAGGAAAGGAAGAUCUGCAAUUUACUGAAAUCUUUGCAUGGCCUAAAACUAGCACAUAAGCAAUGACACCAGAAAUUUAUCAAAACUUUAAAUUUCAUAGACUUUGUUGUCAAUGAAGACAAAAAAUGUGUUUGCUACCGUUAUGGUGGAGGCAAGGGAGUGAUCAUUUGCUUGUACGUUGAUGCAUACUAAUCUUUAGCACCAGGGGAUCUGUGAAGUAGGACCUCGGAAAACAAACCUUUGCAGUUGGAGAGAACAUUUCCUAAAAUCACUCAUUUGAACAUGUAGUUCUCUCACGGAUAUAGUAAGGCGGACUUAUUAUUCUUAAUGUGCUCUAUUACUUGUGUACGCGAAGAUGUUGCCUUACAGGACUGUCUUUGAAAAAACAAACCUUUAUGAGCUAGUUGCCGGUCACACUCUAUGAUAUUAGGUAAUAUCUAGUAAGCUCAUGAAAGGCCAGGAGUACGACUUAUGUUGCUGGUCACACUCUAUUUCAAAUGGAGUACACGUUCACUCACUAACUCGACUUACCACGCCACACAUGGUGCGCACGUCGUGUUUCACGAGUCAAAUUCGAGUUUGAGCUAAGAGCAGUUUUAACAUGCUCCCUCUUACGUCAUCUUUUCACAUGAGAGGUAAGAGUACAUAUUAGAUCUGAGCCGUUGAUCUCAUUAAUUAGUGAUCCGAUUAACUCUUACCUUCUUACCGCACAUGUAAAAAGAAGGGGUAAGAGGGAGCAUGUUAAAUUUUGCCUUGAGCUAAUAUUAUGCACUAUGUUUGAAGAACUAAAAUUUUGCUUGGCAGUGCAUUGCUAAGGAAGCUUCGGGUGUACAUGUCAACACUCAGCUCGUUGUGGGCACAUUUUUUUGCUUUCAGAGAUUUCUUCCGCCAUGUGUUAGUUGCAUCUCCCCAGUCUUCCAUGCAUUGAAGGUCAGAACUACCAAAUCAUCAUAACGGUAAUCUAAUGCAAUAUGACCAAACAACAUAAACUGGUUGGUCUAUUCAACUUGAUAUUCCAACCAUUUUAGAUAUGGAAAGCUAUUUCCAAAUUCUUGAUAAGGAAAGGUAGUACGUAUGUGUACCUUGGCCAUUUGUCCUGUCUAAGAAAGCAUGUAGUUUCAAUGUUGUUCUGUAAUACAUCAUUCCAUGAACAAACAUUACAGUUGUAUUAGGGCAAACUCACUGCCGGUUGCUUGAAAACCCUUGUCAAGACCGAGUUCUAUCACCAUAGGCAACCUCGUAAGCUAGUGGCGGAGCUACAUGCAUUGUUGAGGGGGAGGGGGCCAAUGCCCCCCCACCCUAGGAUAUUUAGUGAAUAAAAAAGUAGAGGCUUAGAUUAAUAAGAUUGUAGUCAUCCUCCCCCCCCCCCCAAAGAUUUAUAUUUUCUCUUUUCCUCCCCCUUGUUUAUCUCCUAGCUUUGCCCCUGACGGAAGCAAUCCAAUUUGGACGAAUGACUGGGAUGCAAGGGAACUUUCUAACGACUUCAUAUUCUUAGCCUUUGCUUUCAGUAGGAUACCUUCAUGUAGCCCACCAAGGACCAAAUACAACUGCCCACAGAGGAAAAAUAUAAACACCUUUGAUAACUGCAUAAAAUAUGGACCCGUUAGAAUAAUAGGACUCGUCAUUGGUACUAAACAAAAAAUACUUCCACAAAAAAGAUUGGAUUUGACCAAGGUGAAGUUACAAUGCAAGCGUGCAAGAGAGAGAGAGAGAGGGAUGGAGAAAACAUAUUAGGCCAUUGAACUAGAGCUCCACUGCGAUGAAAUAACAGAAGAACAUCCGACGAUGAUCAGUCCUUGCCCUAGGCGGUAUAUUUCACGCCUGACUGUCUGUUCACCAUUGCCAUUUCCUUUGGCUUCAACUAUUGAUAUCCGAUUAAGACUAACAUCAUGCCCUUUGCCAAUCUUAUUAACCCUUGUCAAGACCGAGUUCUAUCACCAUAGGCAACCUCUAAGCCAGUGGCGGAGGUACAUGCAUUGUUGAGGGGGAGAGGGCCAAUGCCCCCCCCCCCCCAGGAUAUUUAGUGAAUAAAAAAGUAGAGGCUUAGAUUAAUAANNNNNNNNNNNNNNNNNNNNNNNNNNNNNNNNNNNNNNNNNNNNNNNNNNNNNNNNNNNNNNNNNNNNNNNNNNNNNNNNNNNNNNNNNNNNNUGCCUCCCCCCUUGUUUCUCUCCUAGCUUUGCCCCUGAUGGAAGCAAUCCAAUUUGGAUGAAAGAUUGGGAUGCAAGGGAACUUUCUAACGACAUCAUAUUCUUAGCCUUUGCUUUAAGUAGGAUACUUUCAUGUAGCCCACUAAGGACCAAAUACAACUGCCCACAGAGGAAAAUAUAAACACCUUCGAUAACUGCAUAAAAUAUGGACCCGUUAGAAUAAUAGGACUCGUCAUUGGUACUAAACAAAAAAAAACAUCCACAAAAAAUAUUGGAUUUGACCAAGGUGAAGUUACAAUGCAAGCGUGCAAGAGAGAGGGAGGGAUGGAGAAAACAUAUUAGGCCGUUGAACUAGAGCUCCACUGUGGUGAAAUAACAGAAGAGCAUCCGGCAAAGAUCAAAUCCUUGCCCUAGGCGGUAUAUUUCACGCCAGACUGUCUGUUCACCAUUGCCAUUUGCUUUGGCUUCAACUAUUGAUAUCUGAUUAAGACUAACAUCAUGCCCUUUGCCAAUUUGAAUAUACUCAUUGUAAAUUAUAUUUCCGCGACGCAAUAUGGAAUUAUAACCUGUAAAGUUAAUGUUAAGGCACAAUUUCGUUCAAAAUGACAUGAAUUUAUUAUUUCCAACAGAACAAAUAUUUAAAUUACCAGCAAAUGCAUCCUUGCUUAAGUUUAUGGUUUUAGAGGCUUUCCUUAUACCACCUCUUGUCAAAUGAAAGAUCCGGAUGACCAUAGUGAAUCGUACUCUGCAACCAUUUUGGAUCUUUUAGUACAUUACAUAAACAUACUAUCAAUUCUUCGGUAAAGAUAUACACGGUAUUUAAUAGUACUAUAUGACACCCUAACAUUCAUAAAACGAGAACAACAGAGCGUCGGAAAUUAGUUUGUGCCAUCUAUGAUGAGAAGCAUACUUUCACCUAAUGGGAUCAACGAGGAAUCUAUGUCAAUUGUAACAAAGGUUGUUUCUUAGUAUGACAUGAAUCCAGCAACCGAAAUAUAUUGCAACGGGUUUCCGGAACAACACGCGGGGUAUCAUCUACUCCCUCUGUCCCAUAAUAUAAGAGCGUUUUUUUACACUAGUAUAGUGCCAAAACAUAGUUAAUUAGGGAAGUUGAGCAUGGCCCUAAUGCCAUUAGCAAUGAAGAAAUUAUUUUGGCCAUGGACGAUGCUGAUUCUGGUUUUAUGGCUGCAUUUUAUUCCGUGUGAAUGUGUGAUAUCAAAAAAAGAAGAAGAAGGCAGACAGUAGUUUGAUCUACAUAAAUUCUACACGGGUAAACGUUGGAAUCACAACACGAGAGCAAGAACAGAUCAUUGAGCCAAUUAUUGAGGCCUUAAACUUCACGGACCACACAAUUUUUUCCACGCACUUAUCGCCUUGCUGCCAUCACAAGAUGCUACGGUCCAUUGCUGCAACAGUGUUCCCAAGUUUUAGCCAGGCAACCAGUCCAAUCCCACAGAUAUCGUGCCAAAAACCAAAUCUGAGAAUAGUCAUCUGAAUGAACCGACUAAUGUUGAUUGAUGCGACGAUAAAAACCAAUAAAAAAUAUCAUAAUCAGAAGAAGAAAACAAUCUACUUCAUCAGCAUUAACACCUCGUGCUAUGUCAUCAAUCAACCCGCUUCAUCGAUCCGCCGUCGAGCAGCAGCCAGCGUAUAUAUGUAGCUCGGUUCCUCAGCACCAACUCAUCAGCAAACCCGUGACUGCGAAGAAGAAAAAGAAGAAGAAAGAGUGAGGGAGGUAUCAACUGAAGCUCUUGGAGUGAAAUGGCUACCGCCGGGAAGGUGAUCAAGUGCAAAGGUUGGUUCCUGAACCAUUAAGUUUCCUAUUCAUCUCAGUCUGUGUGAAGAAAUUCCUGGAAUGGGUGGAUGGGAUGAAAUUAACAAGGGAGGGCGUAUAGUUAAUUUGGUUGGUGCUGGCAGCGGCGGUGGCGUGGGAGGCCGGGAAGCCGCUGUCGAUGGAGGAGGUGGAGGUGGCGCCGCCGCAGGCCAUGGAGGUGCGCGUCAAGAUCCUCUACACCGCCCUCUGCCACACCGACGUCUACUUCUGGGAGGCCAAGGUACAUAUCUUAUCCAAAACAUCUCAUAGUGUACCAAUUUUGUGUUUUCCAGAUUACUUUAUCUGGAUGAAUGGAUGAGUUGGUGAUGCGCUGCUUGGAUCUUGGCAGGGCCAAACUCGGCAAAUUUGACCAUUUUGACCUACGGACGAAAUCAAUUCACGGAAUGAACUGAUCGUGAAACUAUUUCACAGCCCUAACCUUUUUGUGUAGCGCCCGCCACGACGGCGCCACACCCUACUGUGCAGCGCCUAGCACGGGGACGUUGCACACCAGUCCACCGUGGCAGCCCCUGGGCCCGCACACAGCAGUGCAACGCCUUCGUGCUAGGCGCCACACAUGUAAUGUGCAGCGCCCAGCCCAUAGGCGCCACACUUGUAAAGUGCAGCGCCUAGCGCGUAGGCGCUGCACUGUGACUUAUCCAGCCACUUGGCUGCCCCCCCUCCCCCACCCCCACACCACACACUCUCCCACUCUCCUCCCCGAGCUUUGCCCCCUCUCCCACUCUCUCCCCCUCUCAAAUCCUCUCCCAAAUCUUGCAAAUUUGAAGAAUUUGUCCGUGGAUUUCGAAGUCAAACCCUCCCUCAAGGUAAUAUUCUCCGAUCCCCUUGUUUUGAUUCAAGUAAAGUUCCCAUUGCUCAUUUGUUGCUAGUUUGGGGAAACCCUAGUUUUGUUUGGAUCUAGAGAUUUGCAUGGAAAUGUGAGAUGUUUGUUUACCAAUUUCUAUGGUUAGGCUUUGUUAGUAUGCUAGGGUUAUUCUUAUGGGUGUUCUUAUGUUGGUGCUAGGGUUAGGUUUAGGGCUAGGGUUAUGGUUAUGGUUAUGGUUAUGGUUAUGGUUGUUGUUUGAUAUAUAUAUUAGGGUUUCUAUUCCGUGUUAAUUCUUGUAUUAGUACUCAUGGAAGCAAUGUUACCUUGUGUUAUUGGAAUGCUUAUAGGGAUGGGAAGAACAUGUGUGUUUGUUCAUCAUGGGGACAAGGACGCCUUUUUGAAAGGCAAUGUAGAACCGGACCCGGAUGAGGUUGACAUGGUGUUUGAUAGUAGUCCUAGCUAUGCGGAGCUCUUGCAACAAGUUAGGGAAGAUUUGAAUUGGACGGACCCUAGUGAUAUCAUAGAGUUGGAGGGAAGGCAUAAUGUUGGUUUUGGAAUGCACAUCCGUUGGAAGACAAUGCGUGUCAACUCGGAGCAACGUUGGGUUGCAUACAAGGAGACGGUGGCCGAAUCACUAGACAAGGCUCUUGAGUUAUUUGCAACGAAGAAGGUUGGUUCAAGUUUGCAUUUGGACUUGAACCGGAACCCCUCCCCUUUGGUUGCUAGUAGCCCCACACCCUUGAAGCGAGAUGAACUUGUUGAACCUCUUUUGACCCAAGAAGUGAGGCCAACAUGAGCCCGUUUACAAACAACCAAGAUGAAGCUUUGCAAGAGGACAAUGAUGAGUAUGCGGACGAUGACAAUGAAGUUGAUCUCCAUGACAACAAUGUGGGUGAUCUCGACAAAUAUCACUUGCAAGAGACAAUGGAUCCUUCCAUCCCUUUUUCCCGUGCAUAUGCAUUGGACUCGGAUGACGAUGGUCCCGAUGAACAAGUGGAUGCGGAGGGGUUCACGGUGAAGGAGGCCGAAGCUUUCGAGAAGGUAUUUGGUCGGGAUCAUCGGACUACAUUGUUCAAGGAUGUUAGUCUCGCGGAUGAAGCCGUGGUAGAUGGUGGCAAUGUGUACCUCUUGGGGUUAGGCCAAGCUCUCAUCGUGAUUUGGGAGACGACAAGAACCGCAUUGCUAAAGGUUCUAAGUUUGACACCUUCUUAUGCAAUGUCGAGUUACGAUGGAAGCAUGAUAAUAACUUAUGCAAUGUCAAUUCACCUGCUCAGGCGUGAUCGCGUCCAUCUCGCUCCUGUACAGCUUGUACAUGACCGAGGGAUCAUCCGUCAUCUCAUUUAACACAUCCCACUUGUAAGCCCAAGUGGGGAGCCGUAGUGGAUCGUCUUUCUCGUCCCAAUCCUCGAACUUCACGGUCUUCGGUCGUCCAACCGGCAAACGCUCCCAGCUCCAUAUGGAAAGUGCGAGCAAACAACCACCAAUACCUCCAGAUAGCCUACAACAGGCUUCGUCCAACUGCACAUAAAAGAGAACAUGGUUGAAUUAACAGCAACAUCGCAUUCAUAAUGUACCAAUGAAUUAAAACAGAAACAACUUCAUACCUGUCUAUACAAGUAAGCCAGUGUCGCCGAACCCCAACUCCAUUUGCUAUCGAAGACGGUCAACGCCUUGAGCCACAUCCAUGGAGCAUUCUUGCCUGUGCCAUCAGCAAACAUACUCCUGGAUAUCACGUACCACAUGUAGACACGAGCAUAUGUCUUCACCGUGUCCUCAUUAGCAUCCUCAGGGCAAUUACUGAAGUUCGAUACAAUCCACGUGAAAGUAGCACCGGCUGCGACUCUUUCCUUCUUCUUGCCUUCUACUUCUGGUUCGCGCGGCUCCGGAGGAACCAUACCGAUAAGGGCAAGCAUUUGCUCGCGCCACCCAUCAGAAUCGGUGCUCAUACAUAGAGGAUUCCCAUCGAUAGGAAAACCGGUGAUCAUAGCUAUAUCCUGGAGCGUCACGGUCAUCUCCCCGGUCCGAAGAUGGAAAGUGUGUGUCUCCGGCCUCCAAUGAUCAAUAAGCGCGGUGAGUGCUGGAGGAUUGUUGGGUGGCGUCGACCUGCUGACCAACUGAAUGAAAGAGAGAAGUCUUGUCUCCCUAACAUACGGGGUGUACCGCUCAUCAUAGCGCAUCCACCCAAGGUUGACCCCGUGAGCCCGAAGCUUCAGAGGUGCAAGCUCCUACAAGCAAACAAACAAAUCAUUACAUAUGGGGGGUAUGUGUUUGAAAAAAAACACGAAAUUCAUAACACCGACAACUUUCAUUAUUACCUGCUGCUUCACCGACAUAGCGUACGACCGGUGUUGUAGAUCCCAAUGAUCAUUGAGAAGCCAAACCAUCCUAGCAAUUUGCAAGAAAGCUUUCUUGUCAACACGAUUAUCUUUUGAAUACAAAAAAACUAAAGUAGGCCUACUAGAUGCAACCAUACCAAUCUAUGUAUCCAACCAUAUCAAAUCAAACAUAACUAAUAAAAAAGGGUUCCACAAAUAACUAGGCCUACUUCAUACAAAUAACUUUUCCAUAAACUAUGCCUACUUCAUAAAAAUAACUCUUCCAUAAACUAAACUAGGGUUCCACAAAUCAAACAAACAAGGGUUCCCCAAAUCAAUCAAACAAGUCAAUACAUGCAAAGUUCUAAUACAUGCAAGAUUCAAAUCUAAUCUAAUCAAACAAGGAUUCCCCAAAUCUUCAAAAUAUCAUAUUUUCUAUGGAUAGAAAGAAGGGGAUCGGAAGAGAGUACCUUCUAGGAUGGAUUGGUGAAGAAAUGCACGGACCAAAUCGUCGGAUCUGAAGGAUUUGGGAGAGGGGAUUGAGAGGGGGAGAGGAGGAACCUGCCGCGCCGCUGCUUCUGUUACUUCAAAACCGAACGAAUGGGUGGGGUGGGGGAGGGGGAGCGGGCGGCUAGCGUCUAAGUCACCGUGCAGCGCCUACGGGCUGGGCGCUGCACAUUACAUGUGUGGCGCCUAGCACGGAGGCAUUGCACUGCUGGGUGCGGGUCCAGGGGCUGUCACGGUGGACUGGUGUGCAACGCCCCCGUGCUAGGCGCUGCACAGUAGGGUGUGGCGCCGUCGUGGCGGGCGCUACACAAAAAGGUUAGGACUGUGAAAUAGUUUCACGGUCAGUUCAUUCCGUGAAUUGAUUUCGUCCGUAGGUCAAAAUGGUCAAAUUUGCCACCAAACUCCGGUUUUCCUUAGGAUCUUGGGCCAUGAAGCUGGAGGGUAUCCAUACUCACCUUUUGCCUCUCUCUUAGCCGCCCCCCCCCUCUCUUUCCCCUGUUUUAAGUUUUAAUAAUUGUUAAUCACUUCAUGGAAUCUAGCUUUGAAUCCUCACCUGAAAUAUGGUUUUAUUGGUGCAAUUAUAGUCAUCCUGAAUCCUACUAGUAUUUACCCCGAAAAUAAUAAUAAAAAGAAUCCUACUAGUAUUUGUCUGUACUUUUUUUAUUAGUACUCCCUCCAUUCCGAUUUACUCGUCGUGAUUUUAGUUUAAGAGGCAGUACUUUGCUGAAGUAACAUGUUUGUUCCCUCACAGCAUUGUGGAGAGUGUCGGUGAGGGCGUGACGGAGCUGGUGCCGGGCGACCAUGUCCUCCCGGUGUUCACCGGAGAGUGCAAGGAGUGUGCCCACUGCAUGUCAGAGGAGAGCAACCUCUGUGACCUCCUCAGGAUAAAUGUCGACUGUGGCGUGAUGAUCGGCGACGGGCAGUCCCGCUUCAGCAUCGACGGGAAACCCAUCUUCCACUUCGUCGGGACGUCCACCUUCAGUGAGUACACCGUGAUCCAUGUCGGGUGCCUUGCCAAGAUCGACCCCGAGGCGCCCCUCGACAAAGUCUGCCUCCUUAGCUGUGGUAUCUCAACCGGUAAGAGUCUAUAUGUACUGAGCCGCCGACGAGUUCAACAUGUUUGGGACGCCUCGGCGAAUUGCUGAGAUUUCAUGUUUCCAAUUCAGGGCUUGGUGCGACCCUCAACGUCGCAAAGCCCAAGAAGGGCAUGACAGUGGCGGUUUUCGGUCUUGGAGCUGUAGGCCUCGCUGUAAGUGUUCCUCCACCAGAUAUUCUUUCAGGUCGAUCGAUGAGAAUUGUUCUAUGACCAUGACUAAUUACAGGCCAUGGAAGGGGCCAGGAUGUCCGGCGCAUCGAGGAUUAUCGGCGUGGACUUGAACCCUGCAAAACACCAACAAGGUACGCAUGAUAAUCUGCCGCUGCCAUGCCAUCGAUCUUCAGGAAGAAAAUUAAAACAAUCCAUCCAUCUUGGCAAAAUGUAUAUUUGUUAGCACCGGAGCAGACUGACUGAGCCUUGCAACCCCAUGCAUGUCCAUUGCUUUUCAGCUAAGAAAUUUGGCUGCACCGACUUUGUGAACCCCAAGGACCACGCCAAGCCAGUGCAAGAGGUACUUGUUCAUGACAUACGCGCACAAGAAGCUUGUGUCAAAUGAAAUGCUGAUGGUCCAAAAAUACGCCGCAGGUGAUCGUGGAGAUGACCGACGGCGGGGUCGACCGGGCCGUGGAGUGCACGGGCAACGCCGACGCCAUGAUCUCCGCCUUCGAAUGCGUGCACGAUGUACAUAUGAUGAUCACUUGCUCCUUCUUCUGCUGCUUGAAACUGAAUCCUGACACUAACACUAUGGCCUGAUGGACGGGAGCAGGGGUGGGGCGUGGCGGUGCUGGUGGGGGUGGCGCACAAGGAGGCGGUGUUCAAGACGCACCCCAUGAACUUCCUCAACGAGAGGACGCUGAGGGGCACCUUCUUCGGCAACUACAAGCCGCGCACCGGCCUCCCCGGGGUCGUGGACAUGUACAUGAGGAAGGAGCUGGAGCUGGACAAGUUCAUCACCCACAGCGUGCCCUUCUCGCAGAUCAACACGGCCUUCGACCUCAUGCUCAAGGGGGAAGGCCUGCGCUGCGUCAUCAGGAUGGAGGAGUAGAGGUAGAGCCCCUGGCUCUUCUUCAUCCCUCGCUGCUAUUGGACUACAACACACAUGUAUCAGCUUCUUUGCUACUUUUUUUUUGAAGUCAUGCCACUUAUAGGACUCCGAUUCAUUAAAUAAGCAGAAGAGGGUUGCUCGAUUAAUUUGCGAAAACUCGGCGAAAACCAUCACAACAUGCCCACAAAAGGGCACACCUGUUCAACCUCACUACCCACAAGACCCGCACUGUCGAGGACACGUACGCCUUUCUCUUACCGCCAGAAAGAAACCGCAUCGAAUCGCCAUCCUCCGACAACAAGAACUGCUUACUUCCUCCGUCCCAUAAUAUAAGAUGUUAAGAACAAAUUUGCAUCCUACAACAAAGACUGCUUGUUGCCUACUUCCUCCGUCCCAUAAUAUAAAAUGUUAAGAACAAAUUUGCAUCCUACAACAAGGACUGCUUGUUGCCUACUUCCUCCGUCCCAUAAUAUAAGAUGUUAAGAACAAAUUUGGAUAUAAGAUUCAGUUGGAUAUUUAUGCACCAUGCAGGAGAAGUGAGAACGAAUUUUGAUACAAGAUCCAGUUGGACAUUUACGUAACCAAUUGAUUUAUUUCUACAUCGUUUGCCUACAUCUGGGUUUUCCAUUUUUUGUUUUUAUGCAACCCCCCUCUCCCUGUCUACUUAUUCGAAAUAUCAGUGAUUUGUUUCUCAUCACAGCAGAUGAUCAGAUUUAAUCUACACCCCACCCUUUGACUGGAAGAAGCGUGCGUGAAACAGUGUUACAGAACCUGGACAGCUGAUACUAUUCAACUAAUUUCAUAAUCCAUAACUGCUCAGUAUUUACAAACUAUUGCCUGGUUGAGUACAGUCAGAUCCAAGCAAAUUUUACAAGUUAAUCUCAUGAGCUGAAAUUGACAGGAUCCAGGGACAUAACAUGUAUCCAAAUACAGACUUUGUGGUUCACUCUAUCAACGGUCUCCGAAUUUUGAUCAGGCAAAGAACUCGACCAUGUUGUUAGUCCAAGACUGUCAUUUUGAAGGGGUGGCACCUUGUCUUGAUGAAGAAUCCGGAUCAAGCUGGGCAUAAGAGGGAGACGUUUCCGGCUCCAGUAGGAUUUGCCUGAGAUGCUUGUCCUCGAGAUGUUCCUAGAAACAAUUAAAACAUGGAACGAUCAGCCAUUAGAUAAGCAAGAAACACGCAACAUUAAAUCACAAAAUUUAAACCUAAAUGACUGAAAUGCAAGAUACGACAGAUUGCUUAUGUCGUAGUGAAGAAAACAGGGUACUGGUGUAUGUUGAACACUCAUCGUGCGAUACAACAGUGCUUUGUGAAUGAAACCACUUUGUUGAACUCAAUUCCUGAACAAUCAUUCUUGUAACACACAGAUACUAUAUGGCAACAUGGACAACUGAAGAGGUAAAUAACACAGAUACAGACCGAAUUUUGAC
rnacentral:lncRNA from 1 species